AUUGAAAAUGAGCCGAUAUUGGGAUGCAGCCACUGUUGUAGGUAAGAAGAUAGGAAAGUAGGAUACAUAAGGUUAUUUAAUUUAUAUCUAUAAGCAACGAUAAACCAUUGCUGAUUAAAGACGAUUCUAAGCAUAGUUCGAUAAUACAUAAUUUAGUGUAGUCUUUUUUUCUCGCUAUUUUCGUUUAAAUUUUAUUAUGAAAUUUAAGCAUCCUGUCCAUUUUUUAAGUCACUAUAAAUAUGUUUAAUUUAAUUACAACAACUUUGUUUUCUUCUGGUGUUUCCGAAUUAUUAAGCUAUCAAAAAACGAUUUGCGCCAUAAGAAACAAAAUGUAAAAUGAAACAAAAAACAGUUUCUUGUCAAAAAACAGGACAUUUGUGGGUAGGGCUUUUUUGUUACUAGGGAUUGAAGUUAAGGAGCACUUUGUAAACACAAUUAUAUUGGAGUGCUUACGAAAAAUGUGAUGACCAUAAACAAAAAAAACCUAUAACUCAUUUUUAAUGUCAAAAUAGGUACAAAUAGUUCAUAACGUAUACCAAAAUAUUAUGCGAAAUAUAUAAACAGCUUUAGGAUUUAAUAAAUCUUUAGUUUUUUUAGAGGAGCUUAGCUCCCCGUUAUUUGUAAUUACGAAACACCUCCAAACAAAUUCUAACCUAAAUAAGGUCUUGAGACUAAGAAGCAAGGUUUUUAAAUCAAUUACAGGCUUACCGGGAUAAUACCGUUUUCUCAAUAGGUUUGUUCACCAGUGCUUAAUCAGAAGUUUAUCAAAACGGGUUUUUAUCGA